rnacentral:rRNA from 1 species
AGGACGAACGCUGGCGGCGUGCCUAACACAUGCAAGUCGAACGGGACCAGGGGCAACUCUGGUUCAGUGGCGGACGGGUGCGUAACACGUGAGGAACAUGACCUUCGGCGGGGGAUAGCCGGCCCAACGGCCGGGUAAUACCGCGUACGACCACUCGGGGACAUCCCCAGGUGGUGAAAGCAGCAAUGCGCCGAUGGAGUGCCUCGCGGCCUAUCAGCUAGUUGGUGAGGUAACGGCUCACCAAGGCGACGACGGGUAGCUGGUCUGAGAGGAUGGCCAGCCACAUUGGGACUGAGA